AGUCCGUUAGAGAGCACGGAGGAUCAAAACCAGGGAAACCAAGUUCAUUCAUCCAGGAGUAAGAGAUGGCCUGAAGAAGGACCCAGAGAGACACUGGAAUAGAAUGAAGAAUUAAGGGAACCUUUCCCAAAAUGUUCGAAGACAGAUAGAAAAACAUUUGCAACUUUUGUUUCACUUGAUGAACGAGUCAGGAACUGUUUGUGCACAAUAAUCCAACAUCAGUUUAAGAUUUUUGGCUGUGUUUUCUCAAGAGCAAGGAAAGACUUUGCUUCCAAUUCCUGCACAUUAUUUUUUUAUUGUUUGGAUUUCCUAUUCAGCACCACUUUACUUUCAUUCUUUUGGUUAUUAAUCUGUUCAUUUUGGAAGAAUAAGUAAUUAAAACAGUUUUGAAAA